rnacentral:rRNA from 1 species
CAGUCGCCGCGGGAAUACGGAGGGUGCAAGCGUUAAUCGGAAUUACUGGGCGUAAAGCGCACGCAGGCGGUCUGUCAAGUCGGAUGUGAAAUCCCCGGGCUCAACCUGGGAACUGCAUUAGAAACUGGCAGGCUAGAGUCUUGUAGAGGGGGGUAGAAUUCCAGGUGUAGCGGUGAAAUGCGUAGAGAUCUGGAGGAAUACCGGUGGCGAAGGCGGCCCCCUGGACAAAGACUGACGCUCAGGUGCGAAAGCGUGGGGAGCAAACAGGAUUAGAUACCCCUGUAGUCCCUGUCUCUUAUAC